AUGAUUCGCUCAAGAGAAAUCGUCUGGCAUGAGGGGUUCAGGGUGUUUUUGCAGCUCUUGCUGACUGAUCAAGAGAAGCAGAAGCACUUCACGCUUGUGUUUUUGUGAUCUCCUGGCAGUUUGCUCGCGUCCCACGCUCUGAGUCAAACCUUCUAGCGCUGAUACAGGACCAGCCUCUGUAGACCCAGCAGAGCCGUCUGAGAGAGCGUGAAGCUGAGCUCAGAUCAGCAACAGACGCAGAGAAUCGAGCCUCUUCCUCAGGAAGA
rnacentral:lncRNA from 1 species